rnacentral:lncRNA from 1 species
GUGGAGGCCGUUGCCGUGGGGAGGCUGCUGCCGGAGACCCUGUGUCGGCGCGGCUGCGCGGGCGCCUGCCUCGCUUGCGAGCUGCGGCUGUCCCUGCUUGCAGGCCGGCCUGAGGAGCCAGCAAGGGCCAGCUGUUUGCCACACGAGAAUGGGGCGGCAAGGGCAGGGCUGAAUGGUUUCCGCGGCCCGCCUUCCCUGUGGCCCAGAGGGCUUCGGGGCACACAGGCCUCCCUAAUGCGGGUUUUCCUGAAACUGAUGAAGAGUUAUCUGCUCUAGCAAAUGUGCCUGACUGUACGGCCAUGUCCUCAACAUCCUUUCUCUUUCUGCCAUCAACGCUUCAUGCAGCGUUGCUACAUAACAUAAAACAAGAAGGUGCCUUGUACAACUGCAGAGUCUUCACAAGAUUUCUACAUGCGAAUUCAUAUCUGCACCUUGAAAGUUGGGGGGCACCUGCCCUUGCCCAAGCACAGCUGUGUUUGCCUCACCAGACACAUCAGAGAUGCUUGGACAAAGUUUCCUUGAAGAAGACAAAAAAAAAAAGAAAAAGAAAGAAAAAGAAAAAGCACGAAAUCGAAUUAGGAUCAAAAGACUUGCAGCUACAACGCCAGUGAAAUUAGUAAGUUCAAUCAAUUAAGUACUUGCAACUCAUUUGGAUUUCAGAUCUGGUCUUGCAUCUUGAAACCAGAAAAGAAUUCAUAAAAGGCAGUUUAUGUAAAAAUGUGACCCUAAAAAUACACUUCCUCAUAAGCAGGAACCAAUAACAUGCUCCUGUACUUGACUUCAAAAUAUAGUGCAAUUUCAAAGAUUAUCAGCUCCAAAUGAUCCAAUAUCUUGCACCUAUAAGCACAGUUCUUGAGCUGGGAACCUAGAAUAUAGACUAUCAAAAUUAAAGUUCACUUCAGGAAAAGUUUUGGCUGUUUACUCCUAAAAGUGAUGCUCCUAAUCAGGAUCAUUGCAUUAAAUGAUUAUUGGCUCCCAUUACUUCAGUGACAGAGAAAAUUUUCUUGUGCUUUUUCCCAACUAUAAACUUCUCUGAACCAAGUUUCCAUGGCCAGCAGGAGGUAUUGACAUUUCACUAAAAAAAAUUAAUGCAAUGACUUUUGCUAUGACAAGACUUCGUCUGUUAAAUAAAUGCAUCCUGACAAAUGUCA